rnacentral:rRNA from 1 species
CAAGCGAAAGCGUUAAGUAUUCCACCUGGGGAGUACGCCGGCAACGGUGAAACUCAAAGGAAUUGACGGGGGCCCGCACAAGCGGAGGAACAUGUGGUUUAAUUCGAUGAUACGCGAGGAACCUUACCCGGGCUUGAAUUGCAACUGAAUGAUGUGGAGACAUGUCAGCCGCAAGGCAGUUGUGAAGGUGCUGCAUGGUUGUCGUCAGCUCGUGCCGUGAGGUGUCGGCUUAAGUGCCAUAACGAGCGCAACCCUUAUCGAUAGUUACCAUCAGGUUAUGCUGGGGACUCUGUCGAGACUGCCGUCGUAAGAUGUGAGGAAGGUGGGGAUGACGUCAAAUCAGCACGGCCCUUACGUCCGGGGCUACACACGUGUUACAAUGGGGGGUACAGAAGGCAGCUACACGGCGACGUGAUGCUAAUCCCUAAAGCCUCUCUCAGUUCGGAUUGGAGUCUGCAACCCGACUCCAUGAAGCUGGAUUCGCUAGUAAUCGCGCAUCAGCCACGGCGCGGUGAAUACGUUCCCGGGCCUUGCACUCACCGCCCGUC